rnacentral:rRNA from 1 species
GGAUUGCCCCAGUAACGGCGAGUGAAGCGGCAACAGCUCAAAUUUGAAAUCCGGCACCCCCCGGGGGGCCCGAGUUGUAAUUUGCAGAGGAUGCUUUUGGCGAGGCGCCUUCCGAGUUCCCUGGAACGGGACGCCACAGAGGGUGAGAGCCCCGUCUGGUCGGACGCCGAGCCUCUGUAAAGCUCCUUCGACGAGUCGAGUAGUUUGGGAAUGCUGCUCUAAAUGGGAGGUAUAUGUCUUCUAAAGCUAAAUACCGGCCAGAGACCGAUAGCGCACAAGUAGAGUGAUCGAAAGAUGAAAAGCACUUUGAAAAGAGGGUUAAACAGUACGUGAAAUUGUUGAAAGGGAAGCGCUCCCGACCAGACUUGGGCCCCGGCGGUUCAGCCAGCGUUCUCGCUGGCGCACUCCGCCGGGCCCAGGCCAGCAUCGGUUCGCGCCGGGGGACAAAGGCGUCGGGAACGUGGCUCCCCCGGGAGUGUUAUAGCCCGUCGCGCAAUGCCCUGGGGCGGACCGAGGUUCGCGCAUCUCGCAUGGAUGCUGGCGUAAUGGUCGGCAGUGACCCGUCUUGAAACACGGACCAAGGAGUCGUCCUCGUAUGCGAGUGUUCGGGUGUCAAACCCCUACGCGUAAUGAAAGUGAACGCAGGUGAGAGCUUCGGCGCAUCACCGACCGAUCCUGAUGUUCUCGGAUGGAUUUGAGUAGGAGCAUACGGGGCCGGACCCGAAAGAAGGUGAACUAUGCCUGUGUAGGGUGAAGCCAGAGGAAACUCUGGUGGAGGCUCGCAGCGGUUCUGACGUGCAAAUCGAUCGUCAAACAUGGGCAUGGGGGCGAAAGACUAAUCGAAC